rnacentral:rRNA from 1 species
GAUGAACGCUGGCGGCGUGCUUAACACAUGCAAGUCGAACGAGAAGUGAAGACGGAAACCUUCGGGCGGAAGGCUUUAUUUCGAGUGGCGGACGGGUGAUUAACGCGUGGGUAACCUGCCUCAUACAGGGGGAUAACAGUUGGAAACGACUGUUAAUACCGCAUAAGACCACAGCACCGCAUGGUGCGGGGGUAAAAACUCCGGUGGUAUGAGAUGGACCCGCGUUCGAUUAGCCAGUUGGCGGGGUAACGGCCCACCAACGCGACGAUCGAUAGCCGAUCUGAGAGGAUGACCGGCCACAUUGGGACUGAGACACGGCCCAAACUCCGACGGGAGGCAGCAGUGGGGAAUAUUGCACAAUGGGGGAAACCCUGAUGCAGCGACGCCGCGGGAGUGAAGAAGUAUUUCGGUAUGUAAAGCUCUAUCAGCAGGGAAGAAAAUGACGGUACCUGAGUAAGAAGCCCCGGCUAACUACGUG